rnacentral:rRNA from 1 species
AAAGAUUAAGCCAUGCAUGUCUAAGUAUAAGCAAUUAUACGGCGAAACUGCGAAUGGCUCAUUAUAUAAGUUAUCGUUUAUUUGAUAGCACCUUACUACUUGGAUAACCGUGGUAAUUCUAGAGCUAAUACAUGCUACAAAUCCCGACUUCGGAAGGGAUGUAUUUAUUAGAUUAAAAACCAAUGCCCUCUGGGCUCUCUGGUGAUUCAUGAUAACUUCGCGGAUCGCACGGCCUUGCGCCGGCGAUGGCUCAUUCAAAUUUCUUCCCUAUCAACUUUCGAUGUUUGGGUAGUGGCCAAACAUGGUUGCAACGGGUAACGGAGGGUUAGGGCUCGACUCCGGAGAAGGAGCCUGAGAAACGGCUACUACAUCCAAGGAAGGCAGCAGGCGCGCAAAUUACCCAAUCCCGAUACGGGGAGGUAGUGACAAUAAAUACUGAUACAGGGCUCUUUUGGGUCUUGUAAUUGGAAUGAGUACAAUUUAAAUCCCUUAACGAGGAACAAUUGGAGGGCAAGUCUGGUGAACGUUGCUGGCGCCAGAAAGAGCCACCCUCUGGUAAAUAAAGUGGCUAGUCGAGUGCUCAUAAUGUGACGGGUGAGCACCGGCGAGACAACCUGGAUCGGGGGAGGCUAAGGGUCACUGCGGCCUAUGCUAAUCCCGAGCAGAGCCAGUACUUCUGGCCUGUGUAGAGCGCGCCAAGGUGUCGGUCCCGAGGUCUUCUCGGGGCUUAAGGUACGUGCCAACCCCCUGUGAAAACAGGGCCCUGCGGAGUAGCACCCGUCGUGCAAUGCCGUAGGGAGCCUUUCUGAAAGGGAAGGCGCUAUAAAAAUGGCCAGCAGCCGCGGUAAUUCCAGCUCCAAUAGCGUAUAUUAAAGUUGUUGUGGUUAAAAAGCUCGUAGUUGAACUUUGGGCCUGGCUGGCUGGUCCGCCUCACCGCGUGUACUGGUCCGGCCGGGCCUUUCCCUCUGUGGAACCCCAUGCCCUUCACUGGGUGUGGCGGGGAAACAGGACUUUUACUUUGAAAAAAUUAGAGUGCUCCAGGCAGGCCUAUGCUCGAAUACAUUAGCAUGGAAUAAUGAAAUAGGACGUGCGGUUCUAUUUUGUUGGUUUCUAGGACCGCCGUAAUGAUUAAUAGGGACAGUCGGGGGCAUCAGUAUUCAAUUGUCAGAGGUGAAAUUCUUGGAUUUAUUGAAGACUAACUACUGCGAAAGCAUUUGCCAAGGAUGUUUUCAUUAAUCAGGAACGAAAGUUAGGGGAUCGAAGACGAUCAGAUACCGUCGUAGUCUUAACCAUAAACUAUGCCGACUAGGGAUCGGACGAUGUUAUAUUUUGACUCGUUCGGCACCUUACGAGAAAUCAAAGUGCUUGGGCUCCAGGGGGAGUAUGGUCGCAAGGCUGAAACUUAAAGAAAUUGACGGAAGGGCACCACCAGGGGUAAACCGCAGUUGCUCUGCCCCUGAAAGCAGCCGGGAAACCGGUCCCGUGGGUCCUUGGCCAGAACGGCCGAAGAAUGCUAGUCGCUCCCAAAACGAGGGGGGCGGCGACACCCUCAAAUUGCGGGAAGUCCCUAAAGCCAACUGAGACCAAGCAGGCGCCCGAAAGGGCCCUGUGGCCGAGCUAGCAGCCCUGGGUAUGGUAAAACAGCAGUUGGAUGAAACAAUGGGUGAUCCGCAGCCAAGCUCCUAACCGGCAGUCGCGCAAGCGCCGCCGCACGGGGAAGGUUCAGAGACUUGACGGGGGUGGGUUCAGUGAGCAGUUCUGGGGUGGCCCUCUUAGGAGGGAAGCCCUCUGGGGAACUGUGUGCUGUGCUUAAGAUAAAGUCCGUCUACAUGCCAAAGCAUGGUAGAGCCCAGUAAAACGGGAGCCUGCGGCUUAAUUUGACUCAACACGGGGAAACUCACCAGGUCCAGACACAAUGAGGAUUGACAGAUUGAGAGCUCUUUCUUGAUUUUGUGGGUGGUGGUGCAUGGCCGUUCUUAGUUGGUGGAGUGAUUUGUCUGCUUAAUUGCGAUAACGAACGAGACCUUAACCUGCUAAAUAGCCCGUAUUGCUUUGGCAGUACGCCGGCUUCUUAGAGGGACUAUCGGCUCAAGCCGAUGGAAGUUUGAGGCAAUAACAGGUUGAAGUAUUACAGGCCUGUAAUAGUGGGCCUCAUUAAAGAUUACUGCUAGUCUAGCGACUUUACCUCCGCGGGGAAGCCCCCAUUAUCGGGCGGAGGGGGCCCUGAAAAGGGCCCUGUUGCGGGCGACACCACCUGGAACAGGGAACGCCGCAAACCCUUUACUGGGGGAACGGCCGAUCCUGUGGCGAGCCUGGGUUGCGCCAGGCCGUUGCAACGCGCGCAAAGGGGUGGGCCUUCACUGAAGGCUUAAGGUACGUGCUAAUCCCGUGGGCAACCACGCCUCUGCAACUAGGCCCGAUAAGCCGAAGUGCAGCGGGGCCACAGGCGCCACAGCGCGCCUGUAGCUGGGGCUUCUACAGCGUAUGCUGUAGAAGCCAUUUGCUGUGAUGCCCUUAGAUGUUCUGGGCCGCACGCGCGCUACACUGACGGAGCCAGCGAGUACUCCCUUGGCCGGAAGGCCCGGGUAAUCUUGUUAAACUCCGUCGUGCUGGGGAUAGAGCAUUGCAAUUAUUGC